CAACCAAUUUUUCUUUAUGAGGAGCUUUGGGGACUAUAGCUCCAGGAGGGGAAUAGGCAGUCUCCUCAGGACUCUCAGAACCUUUAACAAACUACAGCUCCCAGAAUUCCUUGGGGGAAAGCCAUGUCUAUUUAAAGUGGCAUUACAGUGCAUUAAAGAAAAUUGGACACAUUUCAUCAUGUCCCUUUAGCAGGAACACAAUGCAAAAAACAAAAGAAGGGGGGGAGAGAAAGCUUCAAUUCUGAGAAAAGACCUAGAGAGAAGAAGACAGCAGGAAAGAAACAAACCCAUGCUGACAUGAAAGUGUUGCUUUGUCUUCAGCUGUCUAAUUACGUGCACAUUCAUCAUGUGGUCUGUGCUUCAUAAAAGAGAUUGAAAUGAA